rnacentral:tRNA from 3 species
GGGGUCGUUGUCUAGCUUGGUUAGGAUGCCAGCCUUGGGCGCUGGAGGUCGCUGGUUCGAAUCCGGCCGACCCCA